GGCGAGUGGCGAACGGGUGAGUAAUGUAUCGGAACGUGCCUAGUAGCGGGGGAUAACUACUCGAAAGAGUGGCUAAUACCGCAUACGACCCACGGGUGAAAGCAGGGGAUCGCAAGACCUUGCGCUAUUGGAUGAGCCGAAGUCGGAUUAGCUUGUUGGUGAGGUAACGGCUCACCAAGGCGACGAUCCGUAGCUGGUCUGAGAGGACGACCAGCCACACUGGGACUGAGACACGGCCCAGACUCC
rnacentral:rRNA from 1 species